rnacentral:rRNA from 1 species
UGGGGAAUAUUGCACAAUGGAGGAAACUCUGAUGCAGCAACGCCGCGUGAAGGAAGAAGGCCUUCGGGUUGUAAACUUCUGUUUUUGGGGAAGAAUAAAUGACGGUACCCAAGGAGGAAGCCACGGCUAACUACGUGCCAGCAGCCGCGGUAAUACGUAGGUGGCAAGCGUUGUCCGGAAUUACUGGGUGUAAAGGGUGCGUAGGCGGGUGAUCAAGUCAGGUGUGAAAUACCACGGCUCAACUGUGGGGGUGCACUUGAAACUGAACAUCUUGAGUGAGGUAGAGGUAAGCGGAAUUCCAAGUGUAGCGGUGAAAUGCGUAGAUAUUUGGAGGAACACCAGUGGCGAAGGCGGCUUACUGGGCUUUAACUGACGCUGAAGCACGAAAGCAUGGGGAGCAAACAG